UCUCUGAGAACUUUACUGGUGUAAUAGACUGGCCUUUGCACACCAGCUUUUUCUCAAACAAGGAUCGAAGUUAUUGCUUGUGAGGUGAUUGACAAAUACAUGUAUAGUUUCUCACCUUCGACGUGUUUAGAAAGAAGAGGUACCGAUCCCAGGUAUCCCUUGAGUUCUUUAAAUGUAGAUCAGCAUUCUUUCGACCACUCAAAGUUUCUUGUUUUCCUUAUUGUCUU
rnacentral:lncRNA from 1 species